rnacentral:miRNA from 1 species
GUAGCUGGCUGAGACAAGAGACC